UACGGGAGGCAGCAGUGGGGAAUAUUGCACAAUGGGCGCAAGCCUGAUGCAGCCAUGCCGCGUGUAUGAAGAAGGCCUUCGGGUUGUAAAGUACUUUCAGUCGUGAGGAAGGUGUUAAGGUUAAUAACCUUAGCAAUUGACGUUAGCGACAGAAGAAGCACCGGCUAACUCCGUGCCAGCAGCCGCGGUAAUACGGAGGGUGCGAGCGUUAAUCGGAAUUACUGGGCGUAAAGGGCACGCAGGCGGUUAAUUAAGUUGGAUGUGAAAUCCCCGGGCUUAACCUGGGAAUGGCAUUCAAGACUGGUUAGCUAGAGUCUUGUAGAGGGGGUAGAAUUCCAUGUGUAGCGGUGAAAUGCGUAGAGAUGUGGAGGAAUACCGGUGGCGAAGGCGGCCCCUGGACAAAAGACUGACGCUCAUGUGCGAAAGCGUGGGGAGCAAACAGGGAUUAGAUACC
rnacentral:rRNA from 1 species